rnacentral:lncRNA from 1 species
UUUUAGUGAUGCACAGUUUUGAAUCAGCAUUUGCAGAGCAAGACUGGGAAACUAUAAAGGCUAGGGUAUUCUCUGUUUGUAGGCCGGCAAUUCGUAAAGGCCACAAAGGUUCCGGGAAAGCAUUUACUGAAUGUUGUGAAGCCAUGGCGAAGGAGGACAUCAAUGGUAUCUGUAAACAUCUUGAUGUUGUAGACGAGCAUGAUAUCGAUCCUAAGAAACUAGUCCAUGUGGCAAGAGAGUGUGGCUAAACUUGCGAGCACUGAACAUUGCGGAAGUAAGUGAAAUUACAUAAAUUAUUGUUCCCUUUCACAUUUUACGUCUUACAUUUUUGCAAUUAGUUUUAUGACAUUGUUAUUUAUCAUGUGUAGCUUACAAAAUACCGCCACCACCCAUCGUCACCAGCGGAGGCCAGCAAUAAGCAUGUGUUUCAAGUGACAAGGGGCCAUAUGUAACUUGGCGAGAAGAAGUAAUAAAUCAGGAAUGUGUUUCAUUGUUGAUAUUAAGUCAUGAGAAACUUCUGUUAUGCUAUUCCAAAAUAUUAAUUUUGGCUUAGACCAUCGGACUUUUGUUGGUUGUUUGACUAUCUGACUUUUAAAAAGUAGAUCAGAAAAAAAAUCAUAAAU